UCACAAUCAUUUAUUUCAAGUACACGUUUCUUGAUCAACCUGUCAAUCCUACUCUUGUUCAUAUGACCAAGCCUACAAUGCCAAAGGUAGGAUUCACUGACAUUAUCUAAUUUAGGACAUGUUGGGUAUAAAAUAUCCUCCGGCCGAAGUUUGUAAAAUACCGACCCUUCCAGGGCUCUUCCGGCUUCCGACCUUGUGUGUGGCAUCUCUCCGAACCCCCUCGACCGUCUGAACUUCUGCAUUCAUCUAUCGGGCUGCCCCGAAAGCUCUCUGGGCCUCACUGC
rnacentral:lncRNA from 1 species